GUGAGUGGCGAACUGGUGAGUAACACGUGGGAAACCUGCCCAGAAGCGGGGGAUAACACCUGGAAACAGAUGCUAAUACCGCAUAACAACUUGGACCGCAUGGUCCGAGUUUGAAAGAUGGCUUCGGCUAUCACUUUUGGAUGGUCCCGCGGCGUAUUAGCUAGAUGGUGGGGUAACGGCUCACCAUGGCAAUGAUACGUAGCCGACCUGAGAGGGUAAUCGGCCACAUUGGGACUGAGACACGGCCCAAACUCCUACGGGAGGCAGCAGUAGGGAAUCUUCCACAAUGGACGAAAGUCUGAUGGAGCAACGCCGCGUGAGUGAAGAAGGGUUUCGGCUCGUAAAACUCUGUUGUUAAAGAAGAACAUAUCUGAGAGUAACUGUUCAGGUAUUGACGGUAUUUAACCAGAAAGCCACGGCUAACUACGUGCCAGCAGCCGCGGUAAUACGUAGGUGGCAAGCGUUGUCCGGAUUUAUUGGGCGUAAAGCGAGCGCAGGCGGUUUUUUAAGUCUGAUGUGAAAGCCUUCGGCUCAACCGAAGAAGUGCAUCGGAAACUGGGAAACUUGAGUGCAGAAGAGGACAGUGGAACUCCAUGUGUAGCGGUGAAAUGCGUAGAUAUAUGGAAGAACACCAGUGGCGAAAGCGGCUGUCUGGUCUGUAACUGACGCUGAGGCUCGAAAGUAUGGGUAGCAACAGAUUAGAUACCCUGGUAGUCCAUACCGUAACGAUGAUGCUAGUGUUGAGGUUUCGUCCUCAGUGCUGCAGCUACGCAUAGCAUCCGCCUGG
rnacentral:rRNA from 2 species